GAUCGCGCAGCUCAGUUGGCAGAGCAUUGGGCUAGUAUUCCAAAGGUCGUAGGUUCGAUUCCCACCGUGGUCA